rnacentral:rRNA from 1 species
AAUCAACGCUGGCGGCGUGCCUCAGACAUGCAAGUCGAACGAUUAAAGCUCUCUUCGGAGAGUGUAUAGAGUGGCGCACGGGUGAGUAACACGUAAGUAAUCUACCCUCGAGUGGGGAAUAACAACCGGAAACGGUUGCUAAUACCGCAUAAUGCAGCGGCACCGCAAGGUGACAGUUGUUAAAAGAUUUAUCGCUUGAGGAGGAGCUUGCGGCAGAUUAGCUAGUUGGUAGGGUAACGGCUUACCAAGGCUACGAUCUGUAACCGGUCUAAGAGGACGGUCGGUCACACUGACACUGAAUAACGGGUCAGACUCCUACGGGAGGCAGCAGUCGGGAAUUUUGGGCAAUGGGCGAGAGCCUGACCCAGCAACGCCGCGUGAAGGAUGGAAGUAUUUCGGUAUGUAAACUUCGAAAGAAUAGGAAGAAUUAAUGACGGUACUAUUUAUAAGGUCCGGCUAACUACGUGCCAGCAGCCGCGGUAAU